CAAUUUGCCGAAAAUUAAUCAUCAAUUCCCAAGUGACUAUAAACAAAAAGAACGAUGAAAACCGCGUCUGGAAUAAUUCGAAUGAAGUGUUUAUAUCAGUUGGAAUGCAGUCCUCAAGUAGAGCAGAAAACGAUCGCUGGAAUGGACUUCUGAAGGCUAGACUGAAGACUCCAACCCUUGCAUUCAUAAAGAGUCUUGCUCUUUAUACGAAACGUCAAUUCAAAUUACUAUGAUUAGAAGUACAUUGCUUCACAAUGUUUA